GAUGAACGCUGGCGGCGUGCCUAAUACAUGCAAGUCGAGCGAACGGACGAGAAGCUUGCUUCUCUGAUGUUAGCGGCGGACGGGUGAGUAACACGUGGAUAACCUACCUAUAAGACUGGGAUAACUUCGGGAAACCGUAGCUAAUACCGGAUAAUAUUUUGAACCGCAUGGUUCAAAAGUGAAAGACGGUCUUGCUGUCACUUAUAGAUGGAUCCGCGCUGCAUUAGCUAGUUGGUAAGGUAACGGCUUACCAAGGCAACGAUGCAUAGCCGACCUGAGAGGGUGAUCGGCCACACUGGAACUGAGACACGGUCCAGACUCCUACGGGAGGCAGAGGUAGGGAAUCUUCCGCAAUGGGCGAAAGCCUGACGGAGCAACGCCGCGUGGGUGAUGAAGGGCUGCGGAUCGUAAAACGCUGUUAUUGGGGAAGAACAUAUGUGUAAGUAACUGUGCACAUCUUGACGGUACCUAAUCAGAAAGCCACGGCUAACUACGU
rnacentral:rRNA from 1 species